GUAAAAAUGACGUGUUCUUUCUGAAGUAGUUUCAAACCAAAGGAGAUUCAAAUACCUGCAAAAUCACAGUGUAAAUGUACCUACCACAUGUAAAUUUAGAUGAAAGACCACAUCUCAUAAGAGCACUGGAAUAAUACGCAUCUUGAGAAGCUGAGUAUCUUGGGUGAGAGCUCCUGGAACAUUUCUAUUACUUUGCCUGUAAUGCCCAGCUGGAGGUUGGCACAGAGUGUCAAACAAUGUUUAAUAAAGUUGAAAGAAUAAAAAACAGGACAGAAUGAUCAAAGGGAAAGGGUGUACCAGUGAGCCGAAUACAUCCAAAAGGAAAGAAAUCUAAGAAUGUGCAAGAAACCAGUUCAGAAGCAAACUGGA